UGGCUCAGCUAGCCUUGUCUUCUCUUGUUUGGGGGGUAACAACGAUGUGCGUCCCAAACCUUUCUCUCCGAAGAUUUCCCUUCCAUGUCGGCCCUCUCCACUGCGACAUCGUGCCAAAUGGAUCACCACCACGCCACACCGUAGUCCCUCCUCUCUGUUCUUCCUGUCCUGUCGCGUUUGCUCUUCUGCAUCAGAGCUCCGAACUCACAUGCUGUUUUAGCGUAACAGUGUCCUGCGCAUUGCUUUGUUGUUGCCUUCUCCGUGUUCCUCUUCACGCACCAUCGUCCUCCACACGCUCCCGCCUUCAUCAUUGAGACAUUGCCCCCUCCCCCGCCUUUUAUCCUCCCCGCUCCACCCCCUCCGCCCUUCCUCCAGCACACCCAGCAGCAAAGAUGAAGCUUCUGGGUUGGAUGCACCGCAGGUUCCGCUCCACCAGCGGCGAUGUGUUCAAGGACUUGGGAGACGGCGGCACCUGUAACUGCCUCGCCGGGCAACCGUCGCUGGACGAGGACCCCCACCGAAGCCGCCGCCAAUGCGAACCCUUUAAGGUAAGAAGCCUCCGCCUCGAUGCGGAGGUGCUCUUUGACGGCCAUGGUGGAGGUGGCGGGGGAGAUCCGGCGAUGGAGGUGCUCUUCGGGGGGCUCCUCACCGUCGGAACACUAGGGACUGGGUCCUGGCCAAUCGAAGAGAAGGGAGCGGAGGCUGACGCCAAGGCGAACGGGGAGGUGGACGAGAAGAAGCCCUUGGUGUUGGCGGUGGAGGAGCUGGUCACGCCGGCGGCGCUAGAAGCGAUCGCGGAGAAGGAGGCGGAGGCGACGGAGAGGGACCUGAUGGUGGUGGGAGCGGAGCUGGAGAAGGUGCUGGCAACGGAGGCGGAGAAGGGCGGAGGCGGCGGCGGGAUGUCCUCCGCCCGCUCCAGCCAUUCCGGGGCAGCGGCGUGCCCGCUUCAAGGUUUCCCGUUCGGGUCGCCGAUCGAGACAGCGUCCGCGGUGGCAGGUGGGCGGAAGGAGCGGCGGGCCUCGCUGGGGGAGCUGAUCAUGAUGAGCCGGAUCGCAGAGGGCGGCGGCCGAAAGGCGGAGGAAGCCGAGUUCGCCGGGGUAGACAGCGGGGGCCAUGCGAAGGGGAAGCCGACGGCUGAGUUGUGCUUGAUGAGAACCACGAUGGCAAAGCACCGCAAAGGAUCGGACGGAUGUGGCGGCUCAACUCAUGCUUCAACGGUGGAGACGAAGAUCCAAAAGAUCCUUCAAAUUUUCCACAGAAAAGUUCACCCUGAGAGCAGUAUCAUGACUAAGAAAGCUUCAAAGACUGGCAAGAUCGAGAAGAAAGAUCACACGGCUCUAGUUGGAGGCAAUGAUCUCAGUGGUAUGGGAGGUAGCACACUAGCCACUUUGAAAGGUGAAUGCAGAAAAGAAGACAUUCUAAACGUCAGUUUCUGCACCGAUCCUCCAUCCAAUGCUUUUAGUGGCUGCGAUUCAAAUAUCAAUCGGGAACACUGGAUUAAGACUGACGCAGACUAUUUGGUGCUGGAGCUGUAGAAGGGAAGGAGCCAGUCAAACUUCCUGAAUCCACACAAGUCAUGGAAGUAAAUUGAACCUUUACAACGAGAAGUCGAAUCGAAGAAUAAGUUUACAGUGUGGAGGCAAUGCUUCCACUUUUGGAUCUUGGAUGCUCCUCCAACUGCAACUGCACUAAAGCAUGCAUGUCUGUAAUGGAUGGGGUCAUGUGAGGAGCAGUUUCUUGAGUAGCUUUUCAGUGUGUUUGCGAGUAGGGAGACACUGCAUGUGGCAGAUGCUGUGUGAGGUGUUGAUAGGGACCUGAAGAAUUGCGUCUAAAAGAAAUGGAU